UGCAAACAAACCCUUUUCCUUUCGUCUUGUAACAAUGGUGAGUUCCGCCGCUGCCCAGGAGACCCUUUGCAGCCUCGCUAAUCUCAUCUCCUUCGCCCUCGUCUUCCCUCCACUGCGAGCAGCUUAUAAAAUCAUAAAAAGAAGGUGGGUGGAGGAGUUGGAGCUAUGUCCUUACCUUGCAAACCUUCUACACUAUAUGCUUUGGCUCAUCUAUAAGAUUAUUCAGCCUCACUACAUUUUGUGCAUCCCCGUUACUCUUACUGGCUUGCUUGCCCAACUUCUUUAUUUGUUCAUCUUCUACCGGUUUUCCGAUAACCCUGGACUGGUAUUUUUCUUUAAUUAACUACUUUAAUUAUACUAAUA